UGGGGAAUCUUGGACAAUGGGCGAAAGCCUGACCCAGCAACGCCGCGUGAAGGAUGAAGUAUUUCGGUAUGUAAGCUUCGAAAGAAUAGGAAGAAUAAAUGACGGUACUAUUUAUAAGGUCCGGCUAACUACGUGCCAGCAGCCGCGGUAAUACGUAGGGACCAAGCGUUGUUCGGAUUUACUGGGCGUAAAGGGCGCGUAGGCGGCAAUUCAAGUCAUCUGUGAAAUCUCCGGGCUUAACUCGGAACGGUCAGAUGAUACUGCUUUGCUAGAGUGCAGAAGGGGCAAUCGGAAUUCUUGGUGUAGCGGUGAAAUGCGUAGAUAUCAAGAGGAACACCUGAGGUGAAGACGGGUUGCUAGGCUGACACUGACGCUGAGGCGCGAAAGCCAGGGGAGCAAACGGGAUUAGAUACCCCCGUAGUCCCUGAGCGGGCUGGCAAGGCGCAU
rnacentral:rRNA from 1 species